rnacentral:rRNA from 1 species
AUUGAACGCUGGCGGCAGGCCUAACACAUGCAAGUCGAACGAGUGGCGGACGGGUGAGUAAUGUCUGGGAAACUGCCUGAUGGAGGGGGAUAACUACUGGAAACGGUAGCUAAUACCGCAUACCAUCGGAUGUGCCCAGAUGGGAUUAGCUAGUAGGUGGGGUAACGGCUCACCUAGGCGACGAUCCCUAGCUGGUCUGAGAGGAUGACCGGCAAAACGGGAACUGAAACACGGUCCAGGUCCCUACGGGAGGCAGCAGUGUGGAAUAUUGCACAAUGGGCGCAAGCCUGAGGCAGCCAUGCCGCGUUUAUGAAGAAGGCCUUCGGGUUGUAAAGUACUUUCGGCGGGGAGGCGUUACCCGCAGAAGAAGCACCGGCUAACUCCGUGCCAGCAGCCGCGGUAAUC